CAGAUGAGAAGCUUGCUUCUCUGAUGUUAGCGGCGGACGGGUGAGUAACACGUGGGUAACCUACCUAUAAGACUGGGAUAACUCCGGGAAACCGGGGCUAAUACCGGAUAAUAUUUUGAACCGCAUGGUUCAAUAGUGAAAGACGGUUUCGGCUGUCACUUAUAGAUGGACCCGCGCCGUAUUAGCUAGUUGGUAAGGUAACGGCUUACCAAGGCGACGAUACGUAGCCGACCUGAGAGGGUGAUCGGCCACACUGGAACUGAGACACGGUCCAGACUCCUACGGGAGGCAGCAGUAGGGAAUCUUCCGCAAUGGGCGAAAGCCUGACGGAGCAACGCCGCGUGAGUGAUGAAGGUCUUCGGAUCGUAAAACUCUGUUGUUAGGGAAGAACAAAUUUGUUAGUAACUGAACAAGUCUUGACGGUACCUAACCAGAAAGCCACGGCUAACUACGUGCCAGCAGCCGCGGUAAUACGUAGGUGGCAAGCGUUAUCCGGAAUUAUUGGGCGUAAAGCGCGCGUAGGCGGUUUCUUAAGUCUGAUGUGAAAGCCCACGGCUCAACCGUGGAGGGUCAUUGGAAACUGGGAAACUUGAGUGCAGAAGAGGAGAGUGGAAUUCCAUGUGUAGCGGUGAAAUGCGCAGAGAUAUGGAGGAACACCAGUGGCGAAGGCGGCUCUCUGGUCUGUAACUGACGCUGAUGUGCGAAAGCGUGGGGAUCAAACAGGAUUAGAUACCCUGGUAGUCCACGCCGUAAACGAUGAGUGCUAAGUGUUAGGGGGUUUCCGCCCCUUAGUGCUGCAGCUAACGCAUUAAGCACUCCGCCUGGGGAGUACGACCGCAAGGUUGAAACUCAAAGGAAUUGACGGGGACCCGCACAAGCGGUGGAGCAUGUGGUUUAAUU
rnacentral:rRNA from 1 species